rnacentral:lncRNA from 7 species
AAGCCACCAAUAAAAUCACAGCCGUAAAAAGAGAAAGAUCCGCCUGGGUUGUUUGGCUUUGGUGCCGAGCAUAUCAUUAAAAAAAAAGAUAUUUCAUGGCAGGGAUCAGCCCUGUACGUAUAAAUGCCUAGCACCAUAGCCUGCCAGCGCUAGGCCAUUGCCGCUAAAUUCGGCCAACAGGUGAAGGCCGAUAGGCCUAAUCUUUGCCGGCCAUGCCUAUAAAGCGAAGUCGUUCAGCUACGCCAGCGGGGAAAAGAAUCUGUAAGAAUCUGCAAGAGCACGCCGCCAACAGAGAGGAGGAUCUGCAUGAGCGUUGUCAACCGGGAGAUCGCCAUCAUCGUCGCCAACCCAGCAUUGUGGUCACCCAAAUCUACGGUAUGGACCCCCUCUCGAGUUCGCGCUUGCCACCGCCCUCUCUUACGCCAGUCUACGGUUGGGAGAUAC